ACUCCUACGGGAGGCAGCAGUGAGGAAUAUUGCGCAAUGGGCGAAAGCCUGACGCAGCGACGCCGCGUGGGGGAUGAAGGUUUUCGGAUUGUAAACCCCUUUUGUGAGGAAAGAGAAAGUGGGUAACCACUUAGACGGUACCUCAAGAAAAAGCCACGGCUAACUUCGUGCCAGCAGCCGCGGUAAUACGAAGGUGGCGAGCGUUGUUCGGAUUUACUGGGCGUAAAGAGCACGUAGGCGGUUGGGUAAGCCUCUUGAGAAAGCUCCCGGCUUAACCGGGAAAGGUCGAGGGGAACUACUCAGCUAGAGGACGGGAGAGGAGCGCGGAAUUCCCG
rnacentral:rRNA from 1 species